rfam:Capsella rubella cultivar Monte Gargano unplaced genomic scaffold scaffold_4, whole genome shotgun sequence.
UUGCAAUGAUGAGAUCUUAUUUGAUUAAUCGAAAGUGUUUACACUUAAUGAACGGUCGACAAAAAUGUCGAACCUGAGCGGUUAGCUGAGCAA